rnacentral:rRNA from 1 species
UGAGAGGGAAAGAGCCCAAGAUUGAAAGCUGGCGUCUUCGGCGUCCGCAUUGUAAUCUCAAGAAGUGUUUUCCGCUUCGGACCAAGCCUAAGUCCCCUGGAAAGGGGCAUCAUAGAGGGUGAUAAUCCCGUACAUGGCUUGGAGCGCCCGAGGCUUUGUGAUACGCUUUCUAAGAGUCGAGUUGUUUGGGAAUGCAGCUCAAAAUGGGUGGUAAAUGCCAUCUAAGGCUAAAUAUUGGGGAGAGACCGAUAGCGAACAAGUACAGUGAUGGAAAGAUGAAAAGAACUUUGAAAAGAGAGUUAAACAGUACGUGAAAUUGCCAAAAGGGAAGGGUAGGAGGUCAGAGAUGCGGCCUGGGAUUCAGCCUUGCUUUUGCUUGGUGUUUUUCCCAGAUUGCAGGCCAACGUCGGUUUUGGGCACUGGAGAAGGGUAGGAGGAACGUGGCACCCCUCGGGGUGUGUUAUAGCCUCCUACUGGAUACAGCGACCGAGACCGAGGACAGCAGCGUACUCGCAAGAGCGGGCCUUCGGGCACCUUUACGCUUAGGGCGUUGGCAUAAUGGCCCUCUACCAC